AGGGACAACUAAUAUGGCACUGCUGUUGCUGAUUGUGUUAUUUACAUCCGAAGUUUCACAGAUCACGGCAUCCUGUGACCAAAAGAAGGAAAUCCCCGCCAAGCCGGCGGAACCUGACGGAACACCUUUAAUUCCACGUAUAUGUUCAGAAAAAGUUUUAAAGUUUCUUCAAAAUGAGAAAGACAUUCAUCUACAAAUGAUGGACCGAGACGAUUAUCUUAACAGUACAUGGCAAUGUUUGAAGUCAGUCUUCAAAGCAAAAUAUACUGAUGGAUGUGAGAGAACGAUACACACAUACAAAUAUGUGAU